CCUACGGGUGGCAGCAGUGAGGAAUAUUGGUCAAUGGACGAGAGUCUGAACCAGCCAAGUAGCGUGAAGGAUGACUGCCCUAUGGGUUGUAAACUUCUUUUAUAAAGGAAUAAAACGAGGCACGUGUGCCUUUUUGUCUGUACUUUAUGAAUAAGGAUCGGCUAACUCCGGGCCAGCAGCCGCGGUAAUACGGAGGAUCCGAGCGUUAUCCGGAUUUAUUGGGUUUAAAGGGAGCGUAGAUGGGUUGUUAAGUCAGUUGUGAAAGUUUGCGGCUCAACCGUAAAAUUGCAAUUGAUACUGGCAGUCUUGAGUGCAGUUGAGGUAGGCGGAAUUCGUGGUGUAGCGGUGAAAUGCUUAGAUAUCACGAAGAACCCCGAUUGCGAAGGCAGCUUACUAAACUGUGACUGACAUUGAUGCUCGAAAGUGUGGGUAUCAAACAGGAUUAGAUACCCGGGUAGUC
rnacentral:rRNA from 1 species